AGGCCGGGCGGCCAUAUUGUCCAACACUGGGGUUGAGGCCCCAUCAAUAAGAUGCUCUCAGCUCCUGCCGCGGGGAAUUUGGUCCUUCCUUCACCCCCUUUAUUGAGGAUCCUCGCGCGCAGCGGUAGAAGUAGCCGACCCACCUUCCCGGGGUGUGCGGCGCCUGGGACCAACGGCGGGACCAGGACCGGAGGAGCCGCAGUGCCCCACUGGGCACGGUGGCUGCUCCGGACCUGGGAGAGACACCAGAAUGCCGCAGUUCCCCAGUACAAGAGUGAACAAAGGUGAUACUAAGAGAAAUUAAAUCAACAGUUCAGAGGAAUGAAGCCUAAUAUUACAGACAAUGUGAACAGAACACUUCUCUCCACUUGAUUGGAAUUUUGACAAGGGUGACAUGCAUGCUCUUGAAACACCAAAGUGAGUGAAAUAUGAAGAGAUGGUGAGAAAUUUUAUCUGUAGGAUUUUAUGGCUUCAGCAACCUUCAUCAUGAUCUCCCAGAAAGGAAAGAAAAUGCAAAACAAGAGAAGGAAGAACAGUAUGGUAAAGGGAUAUGCAAAACUGUAUUAUUAGUGGUGUGCCAAGUUCAUGAGACACAUGUAGGAAUAGCAGGAGAAAAUUCUCAAAGAAAAAUCUCUGUGAAUGUGAACCACAAGAAAAGGCUGUCCAAAUAGCACACAUUUGCAGAACUCUUUGCAUGACAGCUGUAAUGUACCAUGUACCACAGUCCCCAAAAGAUUUCUGUCCAACAUCUUUCACUGGGGGGCAAGAGUCAGCUGAUGUCAUGAUGCUCAGGAUAACCAAAGAAUUAAGAGGGACUGGUGUGUAAGUAUUUCAGCUCUAUAUUCUAUGCAUUUGUCAUGAACACGUUAUAUCUGUGUUAAAAACGGUGUUAAGGUAUUUUCAAGCCCCUGAAACAGCCAACUUGUUAGAUAAAUAAUAUGGUAAAAAACCCAAUAACCAAAUAAACCUCUGAGAUUGCAAAUAGAUAAUCUGUGGCAUAAAUUGCCUUCAGCUGUGAUUUCUUAGCUAGUAUGACUUUAGUGUUUUGCAUUUGUGCAAUAUCUAGCAGAAGAAGGAGCUAAUACAGUAAUUUGAGAAUGAUGUAACAUCAAUAAAGAAAUCUGGUACUUA